rnacentral:rRNA from 1 species
UACGGAGGGAGCUAGUGUUAUUCGGAAUUACUGGGCGUAAAGCGCACGUGGGCGGCUUUGUAAGUAAGAGGUGAAAGCCCAGAGCUCAACUCUGGAAUUGCCUUUUAGACUGCAUCGCUUGAAUCAUGGAGAGGUCAGUGGAAUUCCGAGUGUAGAGGUGAAAUUCGUAGAUAUUCGGAAGAACACCAGUGGCGAAGGCGGCUGACUGGACAUGUAUUGACGCUGAGGUGCGAAAGCGUGGGGAGCAAACAGG